CUGCAGCCCCAGACUAACUGAAAGUGAGGCAGCCGUGAUGUGGGGGCAAAGAGUGCCCUGGGAUUCAAAUUAAGGGUUCCCUUCCCAGGCCCAGGAGGGGGUUGGAGGCUUACUCUGUAGCUCAUCCUGCCCCAAAAGAACUGCCAUUGUUUCCUUUAUCCUGCGUUCUGUCAUUUAUCUUCCUCAUCCUGUUUAUUCUUAUCCUGUCCCUAAUCUCCAGCUCCCAUAUGAAGCUCUAAAAAUACAUCAUUAUCCUUCAGGCUGUGCAGCUUUCUGUCUCUACAAGCCUGGGUCUUUUCCUACAUCUCACCUUUGUUCAGCAUCUUGCUAACCUCAGGCCGGUGAAGCUUUCAUGAAAUAAAGCUCCCCAGGGCUACCGAGAAGGUCUAAGUGAGUUCUUUCACACCUGAACCAGCUCUCCCAAUUCUAAACCUCAACAUAAAAUGGUGCCGAAAUCCAGGAGUCCAAAUAUUAACUGGACUCCGCCGAUCUUCUCCUGGCCACUGGGAUAACAGGUCGACAGUAAUGGUGCUGUGACAUUGGAUUGGAACUGAAGAAGUAGGAGAAAACACUACCCCAGCAAUUCGAGUUGCUCAGGCGCCUCAGGAUCCAUUUUUCCUGAAGUCCUAACCUUGACUGGGUUGGAAAUUCCACUUUCAACUCUUAGGAUACCAGCCCUUACCCUGGGUAUCCCUGAGUGGUUUGCCUCUCUCCACCCUGGACUCAGCUGGCACUACAUUCCACACCUCCACACUGACCACCCUUCCUCAACCUUUUAUCGGCCCUUGAAAUGGACUCUUCACCUCUGUUCAGCAGGGAGCAGUACUGAAGAUAAAGACCUUCGCCCCUUUUCCCGAAAGAUUUCUCCUGCCUAUUGUUUGAGUGGGUAUAAUUAAAUUUAAUAAUUAAGUUUAAUAAUUUAUUGUAAAUUUGUCUUUUCCCCUCCCCUCCAUUGUGUCAACCUUGAAAGUCAGUUAAAGAGGCAACAAGCUAGGUGAUAAGUAAAUUUAUGUUGUUUACUCCCUUAAGUUAGUAACAUGUACAUGGAGCCAGAGCUUUAACUCUGACUGAAUCAAGCAAUUUUAGGAGGACAUUUACACCCUUACUCAGGAUGUCUGUGGGAUAGAAACGAGCAAAGUACUUGACUCAAAGAGAGAGUCAAUGGAGGAAGAUGUUUAUUUCAUUUCUUGCAAGAAGAGGGUAUGUUGCUCCCAAAAAGCACAGACGCCAGUACAGAAGCAAGAGUAAGCUCUGAUACCUUCAGGUGUGUCACAUAAGCUAAUUGAUCACAUGCAGACGCAAGAACAGCUGUUAGUUAUUUGUCAAUACUUGUAGUGUAUAUACAUGUGUGUAUGUAUUUAGGGUCAGGUUAGGGUUAGGGUUACUAUGGUAUGUAGAGUACCUGCUAAUCAGGACACACUAAUCCAUAGGCAUCCUGUUUUUACAUUAAGUUCUGUGGAAACAGAAAAUUUCACAAACAUCUUCUUUUCACAUGUGUCACUGAGAUUUAUGGUCUCCAUAUGUGUUUAACCAUAGCAUGAGAAAGAAAUUUUCUUAAUUGAAUAGGCUUUAAAUACAAUAAGAUAGGGGAAUGUCAAAAUGUCAAUUGAAAUUAUAGCUCCAGGAUAUCUGUUUCUUUUACCGUUAACAUGACAUAGCAUAGUAUAUGUCCUUCAUUAUCUCUACCACGAAUUCCAUGGUGCCAUUGUUGAACCAGGAAGAAGCUUUAUUAAUGACCUGGGAAGGCUGGGCGUCCCCUAUGUGUGAGAGCAUGCACGUGAGAGCACAUGUGUGGACAGAUGGACACCUUUUUAUUCCCUAUUCCCAGUUCAAAUUUCCUUCCCGUUUUCCCAUUGGCUGGGUACUAUAAAUCCAAAGCACCUAAUUUUCCCAUGUGAGUCCCCACCCCUAAUUACAUCUCCUACUCCCCACAAUUCAGCAACUAGGCUCUUAUUUGGGAACACCCCUUUUAUGUUAACUUCAGAACUGGUUUUCAGCAGGUUAGGCUAUUCACCACCAAUAGUGUUUUCUUAUUCUAAUAUAGCUUCCUUUGUUCAACUUCCACCUAGCCUUUUAGAUUACAUUCCUUAAGUUCCAUGUGACUUUUGUGUAAAUAUAAAAAAAUUAGCUAUUUCUCACAUUCUCUCCCACUUUAAACUGACCUCAAUGCUGUCACCUAGGCCUCUAAUUCCUGAUUGAGUGACAUGCAGAAGCAACAUUCCCCAACCACAUUUGCCACAUCCAUAAAAUACCAAGAUCUUAGAAAAGUCCCAUUACUCAAGGGAGUGUCCGGAUCUAAGGCGCCUUAGUGGUCAUAAACAGAAGAACGCUGGUCAGAUUCAUCUGGUCCUGUAGUUGCUGACACAGGAAGUGGCAUUUUGAGUUCAUUCAGAGAACAAAGAAAAAAUAUGUCUAUUAUGUUGGGGUGCUUCUUCUGGUUGAUUAGUUCAGGCUUUGGCCCUUAUUGGGGCUCAAAUGAUCAUCAACUGAAAUUCUGAUGAUGUCAUAUUGCAUCACGUAACCAUUUAUAGCAUCUUAUUGUAAACAAGUCAUUCCAUGCACAUAAUCCUGCAGAUGCAUGCUGGACUUCUUGACAACGUGCAAAAUGCCCACCAACACUUGCCUGUUAAGACCCUUGUGGGUAGACUUGACCAGUCUCUAACCUGAGAAUGCUUGGAGCCAGAACAAAGCAGGCCUAGAGAGCCAGUAAUCAAGUAGUUUAAUUAAUCAGUUUCAGAGUGAGGAAUGUUCCCUUAGCUGAAGAAAAAGCACAGGUUAUAUACUUCAAUCACAAUGGGGGGGAAGGCAGAUUAUAGUAGUUUAGUGGCUUCCCAUGAGAAACCCACAAGCUCCACAAUACAAUUCUGCAGUCACGUCUUUGGGGGUCGUGACCCCCUCCCCUAGAAUGAAGAAUCAGAGUUCUGUGAUGAACAGGUUCAACAAUCUUUGAUUCAAUUUACUUAAGGUCCAGUGAUUGUGAGCUUUGUCAGAGUUUUGAUUAAUCAGUUUAAACUGCAUUGUGAGCUCUGACUCCCAAGCCAGACAGCCAGAUCUUGAGAAAAUUAAGUUAUUAGUAUAUUCAUUGUGCAUAUCAUAUCAAUUAAUAUGAAAAUUCUAAUUCCUUCUCACUGGAAAUAGUGAAUCCCAUAAUAUGAAAUGCUUAGAAUAAAAUGUAAACUAUAAUAAAUCAUGUAAAAUACAAUACUAAUUGAAAUUAGAAAUUGAUGUUCUACAUGAUAUUAUUUGGAAAAUAGAUCCAGGUGCAAUAAAAUUCUGGUCCUAUUUUAAAUGUAGGCAAACAGUGUUAAGUCACUUGCCCAGGGUCACACUGCUAGUAAGUGUCUUGAGGCCAGGAAAAA